CACCAUAUUUUUAGCACAGGGUUCACAUUAGUUCUAAACACAAUCAAGAAAAGAAAACGGGUAUUUUCACUGGGGAAAGAAACAUGCAGGACACAGCAUUCACAAGGCAUGCCACUUAGAAAUGCAAGAAUCAAAGAGAAAAUAACUUGUAAAAUAAUGAAAAAAGCAUGAUCCCAUAAUAAAUGAGAAGAUCACAAAAAUGCAAACAAGACAAGGAUGGAGGGAGGUGCGCAUAUGAAAUGGAUGGUCGCUUUGCAUACCUUCCUUCAUCUUUAUCUUAUUUCGACUGUUCUAGGUUUAGGUCAUUAUGCCCAAGCAAAGCAUAAAUCACAUCAUAUUUGUGAUAAACAUCAUAUACAUAAACAUCAGUUAAACAAAGCAUUUCAGUUAGGGAUUAUAUGAAUGAUUGUGAUUAAUGAACUGUGGCUCAUUAUGUGCUCAAAAGUUUGAAAAUGUGCACACCGUGCAACAUACGUAUUAUCCCCAUUUCAUUGGUGCCACGAGGAAGGGGGGUCCUAUACAGUACCACUCUGAAUUUAGCCUGCUUGUUUUUCCACCCCUUUCAGGUUGCAGUUGAUCUUCCCAACAUUGCCCCCUGGCUGGCAUGACUGGCAGAGCAGCAAGGAUGGCUCAUUCUCCCUAGCUGGCAGUCGCAUUGACCUUCUCAACAUUGUCCCCUGGCUGGUAUGACUGGCAGAGCAGCAAGGAUGGCUCGUUUUCCCUAGGUUACGUGAUGCUGCGCACAUAGUGAUGAUUUCAACUACCCAACGAGGCAUAGGGAUUGUCUUUUUCUUUCAGCAGUGUUGCGAGUCUUUAUUUGGGCGGUGUUGUACCUGAAUGAGUUAAUAAAUGUUACGAGUCAGAGAGACAAUAUAUGAUGUUUUCAAGAAUUUGACAAAUUAUCAUCCCAACAUCUUCAUUAUGGAGGUUGCAUGCAGAUAAUAUGUGCAUGGGUGUGAAGUUUAGUGCGAGUGAACAAUCAUAAAAAGGUCAACUCACUUUGUCUCGCCUUUAUUGCAGUGGAAGAAUUGUGAUGUAUUUUUUUCUUCACGAGGCAAUAAUAUUUUGAUUGUGGAGUGGGCACAAAAGUGUUGUGCCCGCGAAUCGAGCUUGGUGCAAACCUGUGCAUAGUAAUAAAUCUUUUAGAGCAAAAAAAAAAUUAAA